GAUGAACGCUGGCGGCGUGCCUAACACAUGCAAGUCGAACGAAGCGCCUUACCGGAUUCUUCGGAUGAAGGUCUGGUGACUGAGUGGCGGACGGGUGAGUAACGCGUGGGUAACCUGCCCUGUACAGGGGAUAACAGCUGGAAACGGCUGCUAAUACCGCAUUAGCGCACGAGGAGACCUCUCCUUGUGUGAAAAACUCCGGUGGUACAGGAUGGGCCCGCGUCUGAUUAGCUGGUUGGCAGGGUAACGGCCUACCAAGGCAACGAUCAGUAGCCGGUCUGAGAGGAUGAACGGCCACAUUGGAACUGAGACACGGUCCAAACUCCUACGGGAGGCAGCAGUGGGGAAUAUUGCACAAUGGGGGAAACCCUGAUGCAGCAACGCCGCGUGAGUGAAGAAGUAUUUCGGUAUGUAAAGCUCUAUCAGCAGGGAAGAUAAUGACGGUACCUGACUAAGAAGCUCCGGCUAAAUACGUG
rnacentral:rRNA from 1 species